AGCUUUGUGCAGUGGCAGUAUCCUAGCCAAUGAGCUUUAUCCGAGGCACGAUUAUUUCUAAUUGAAAAGGCACAUUAUAAACAAUGAUAUGAACUAAAAAGCUAUUAAUAAAAUAUAAUUAAAAAUUGAUGAAUU